rnacentral:rRNA from 1 species
AUGUGUAUUCCCAAGAAAGAAGGGGGUAUGGGCUUCAGAGAUAUUCACUGCUUUAAUCUUGCACUUCUGGCAAAACAGGCAUGGCACCUUAUUGACAACCCGGACUCUUUGUGUGCGUUGAUCCUUAAGGCGAAAUAUUUUCCUGAUGGAGAUCUCAUGAAUGCAACUUUAAAAAAGAAGGCUUCAUAUACAUGGCAGAGUAUUAUGGCCGGAGUUGAUACGCUCAGGCGUGGGUAUAUUUGGAGAGUUGGUGAUGGUGAGAAAAUUAGCAUAUGGGAUGAUCCCUGGAUACUGCAGAGCCCAACAAGAAAGUGUUGGGGAACGUAG